CUACUUACCUGGUGCCGAGACCUCCGUGAUCAGGAUGGCGGAGACCCCAGGAGGAGCCCUUCCAUUGCACUUCGGAAGGGCUGAGACCUGCCACUCUCCCAAAUUCACGUGUCUCCCAAAUUCAAAUACGUGCCCAAAGGCACGUAUAUA
rnacentral:snRNA from 13 species